rnacentral:misc_RNA from 1 species
GAUGAAGAACGCAGUGAAAUGCGAUAAGUAAUGUGAAUUGCAGAACUCAGUGAAUCAUCGAAUCUUUGAACGCACAUUGCGCCCCUUGGUAUUCCGAGGGGCAUGCCUGUUCGAGCGUCAUUUUGACCACUCCCGCUUGCGGGGUCUUGGGCCUUCGCCUCUGGGCGGGCCUUAAAAUCAGUGGCGGUGCCGUCCGGCUCUAAGCGUAGUAAAUCUCCUCGCUAUAGGGUUCCGGAGGGAUGCUGGCCAACAACCCCCAACUUUUAAGGUUGACCUCGGAUCAGGUAGGGAUACCCGCUGAACUUAAGCAUAUCAAUAAGCGGAGGA